rnacentral:rRNA from 1 species
GACGAACGCUGGCGGCGUGCUUAACACAUGCAAGUCGAACGGAAAGGCCCUGCUUUUGUGGGGUGCUCGAGUGGCGAACGGGGGAUUAACACGUGAUUAACCGGCCCUGGACUUUGGGAUAACUUCAGGAAACGGGGGCUAAUCGGGUAGGGGAUCCCGGCGUACGGGGGGGGGUGGGAAGAUUCGGCGGGUGGGGAUGGACUCGCGGCUUAUCAGCUUGUUGGUGGGGUAGUGGCUUACCAAGGCUUUGACGGGUAGCCGGCCUGAGAGGGUGACCGGCCACAUUGGGACUGAGAUACGGCCCAGACUCCUACGGGAGGCAGCAGUGGGGAAUAUUGCACAAUGGGCGGAAGCCUGAUGCAGCAACGCCGCGUGCGGGAUGACGGCCUUCGGGUUGUAAACCGCUUUCGCCUGUGACGAAGCGUGAGUGACGGUAAUGGGUAAAGAAGCACCGGCUAACUACGUG